AGUGAACGCUGGCGGUAGGCCUAACACAUGCAAGUCGAACGGCAGCACAGGAGAGCUUGCUCUCUGGGUGGCGAGUGGCGGACGGGUGAGGAAUAUAUCGGAAUCUACUCUGUCGUGGGGGAUAACGUAGGGAAACUUACGCUAAUACCGCAUACGACCUACGGGUGAAAGCAGGGGAUCUUCGGACCUUGCGCGAUUGAAUGAGCCGAUGUCGGAUUAGCUAGUUGGCGGGGUAAAGGCCCACCAAGGCGACGAUCCGUAGCUGGUCUGAGAGGAUGAUCAGCCACACUAGAACUGAGAGACGGUCCAGACUCCUACGGGAGGCAGCAGUGGGGUAUAUUGAACAAUGGGCGCAAGCCUGAUCCAGCCAUGCCGCGUGGGUGAAGAAGGCCUUCGGGUUGUAAAGCCCUUUUGUUGGGAAAGAAAUCCAGCUGGCUAAUACCCGGUUGGGAUGACGGUACCCAAAGAAUAAGCACCGGCUAACUUCGUGCCAGCCGCCGCGGUAA
rnacentral:rRNA from 1 species